rnacentral:rRNA from 1 species
GACGAACGCUGGCGGCGUGCUUAACACAUGCAAGUCGAACGAGAAAGCCCUUCGGGGUAAGUACAGUGGCGAACGGGUGAGUAACACGUGGGCAACCUGCCCCAGAGAGCGGGACAACCCGGGGAAACCCGGGCUAAUACCGCAUGAUGCGUCUCCACUUAAGUGGAGCCGCCAAAUGGUAGCUUCGGCCUCCGCUCUGGGAUGGGCCCGCGCCGGAUUAGCUAGUUGGUUGGGGUAACGGCCCACCAAGGCGACGAUCCGUAGCUGGUCUGAGAGGACGAUCAGCCACACUGGGACUGAGACACGGCCCAGACUCCUACGGGGGGCAGCAGUGGGGAAUCUUGCGCAAUGGGCGAAAGCCUGACGCAGAACGCCGCGUGGGGGAAGAAGGCCUUCGGGUUGUAAACCUCUUUCAGUAGGGACGAAGCUUCCGGGGUUAAUAGCCUACGGGGUGACGGUACCUACAGAAGAAGCCCCGGCUAACUACGUGCCAGCCGCCGCAGUAA